rnacentral:rRNA from 1 species
UACGUAGGGGGCGAGCGUUGUCCGGAAUCAUUGGGCGUAAAGCGCGUGUAGGCGGUUCAGUAAGUCUGCUGUGAAAGUCCAGGGCUCAACCCUGGGAUGCCGGUGGAUACUGCUGAACUAGAGUGCGGAAGAGGCGAGUGGAAUUCCCGGUGUAGCGGUGAAAUGCGCAGAUAUCGGGAGGAACACCAAUUGCGAAGGCAGCUCGCUGGGACGUUACUGACGCUGAGGAGCGAAAGCGUGCGGAGCGAACAGG